rnacentral:rRNA from 1 species
UACGUAGGGUGCGAGCGUUGUCCGGAAUUAUUGGGCGUAAAGAGCUUGUAGGCGGUUUGUCGCGUCUGCCGUGAAAUUUCGGGGCUCAACCCCGAACUUGCGGUGGGUACGGGCAGACUAGAGUGUGGUAGGGGAGACUGGAAUUCCAGGUGUAGCGGUGAAAUGCGUAGAUAUCUGGAGGAACACCGGUGGCGAAGGCGGCAUCCUGGACCAUUACUGACGCUGAGGAGCGAAAGCCAGGGGAGCAAACGGG